rnacentral:lncRNA from 1 species
UCAAUUAACACCUUAAAAGUCUUGGUUCAUAAUUAGAGCAUGCACCGGGUUCAUGAAAUUUAGCGAUAAGUUAAACUCCUAAUCCUGAUGGCAGGCGAUAUAACUGAGGGGCUAUUUAGUUGCAUAUAAUUAAAACUGCAAAACAGUAAUAACUAAAUUAUUGCAAUAAACCACCAAUCCAAAAUACUUAAGCCUAGUCUUAUAUAAACUGAUCGAAAUCAGUAUCCCAUCGAGGCGUUACAAACUUCCCCUGUUUAGACCCGGCGUUACAAACUCCCCCUGUUUAGACCCUGACGUCCGCCCUCCUCCUGUUUAGACCCUGACGUUCGCCAUCGAGGCGUUACAAACUCUCCCUAUUUAGACCCUGACGUUCUUGUCCGUCGGGUCCAAAGCAGAUCACAGACAGACAGACCAGGACAGUUCCGAGACGAUAUGAAAUUCUAGAGGUGGCCCCUACGGGUUCAAGAGGCGGUGUGAGAUUCUAAACUCCCCAUGUUUAGACCCUGACGUCCUCGUCCGUCGGGUCCAAAGCAGAUUACAGACAGACAGACCACUCGUCGGGUCCAAAGCACAUCACAGAUAGACAGAUCAGGACCAUUCAGAAGCGAUGUGAGAUUCUAGAGAUGGCUCCUAUGGGUUCAACAGGCGAUGUGAGAUUCUAGAGGUGGCUCCUACGGGUUCAAGAGGUUGCUCCCACAGUCCCACCAAAUCCGUUGGUGUAGCAUUUUGUUCUGCAUAGGACUUAGUUCUCACACUUCUGGCUGAUAUUCGUCUCUGAUACCAAUUGCAACGACCCGACUCGCUAGCAAUAAUAACUCGUUGGGCCCAAACCACCAGCCCAAAAUACUUAAGUCUAGUUAUUAUUACUAGCGUAUAGGCCUCAUAUAAAUCGAUCGAAAUCAGUAUCCCAUCCGAUAUGAGACUAUUGGGAGCAUUACAGAUAUAUACUAAAAGCGUUAAUUAUUUACUUUUUCACGCUAUUCUUAUCACUACUAUCGAUGGUGCCCAGCAAGCAAACUAGACAAAAAUGUAUAGAACAUGUGAUAUGUGUUUCGUUUGUGCUUUUCUAAUAAUUUGCUUCGACCUUUUGCGUCGAAGUAAGUUAAAAAAAAAAGAAAAAUUCAAAUACUAUCCUUAUGAUUUUAUAUAUAUAUUUGUUAGUGUCAUAUAGUUUAAAGUGUAUUAAUUUUGUAUCCUAUGAUUUUAUAUGAUUUUAUUUUUCUCUUUUUAUUAUUCUUUUCUGUUUGAGGUUUAGAAAAAUUUUGUUUUUAUAUAUGCACUCUUUUAUUUAGAAUUUAUUCUAUAACAAGACAACGGUGAUUAUACGUACUAAGACUUCGUUUGGUUCGGAUAUAAAUAAGAAUUAUCUAUUUCAGAAAUAAGUAUAAAUUUAGAUAUAAAUCUAAAAUAGAUCAAUUUUGCAUUUGGAUGAAACUUGAGUUGUUUAUGAAAAUAAGAAAAAUAGCGUUUGUAUAGAUAAGAUGGAAUAAGAAGAAUAGUGAGUAGUUAUAAAUAAAAAAUAAUAAUAUUGCCCAUUAUAUUAUAUUUGAAUUUAAAUUUUUAAAUUUUACAUUUAAAUUUUUAAAAUUUAAAAAUAUAACUUAUAAAUUUUAAAAUUUUAAAUCUACUUUAAAUUUUAUAUUUAAGAUUAAAUCUAAAUUUAAAAAUCUAAAAUAUCAAAUUUUAAACUUAAAAAUCUAAAAUAUUAGUUUAAAAUUUAAUUUAGAAUUUAAAAUUAUAAAAUUUUAAUUUUAAGAUUAUAAAUUAUAAAUUUUUAAAAUUUAAAAUUUAAAUUUAAAUUUUUUAUAAAAUUAAAUAGGGGUGGGAUAACUGUUACCAUCCCUAUUUCCAGACAAGGGGUGUAAUGGCUAUCCCACCUAUUUUUUUUUGUGUUUGGGAAUACUCUCCCCCCAUCCCCCAACCAAACACUGUGUUAAUCUUUUGGGCUUAGUUACCGCCCAACAUGUUAUAACCGGAUUAAGAGUUUUAAUUCUAUUAAAUCCCAUCCCCCAACCAAACGUUGUGUUAACCUUUUGGGCUUAGUUACUGCCCAACAUGCUAUAACCGGAUUAAGAGUUUUAAUUCUAUUAAAUCUUAUAUAUAAGAUAAUCUGAUAUCUCACAUUCUCUCCUCUUAAGCCCUGACUCGGUCGAGAUUCAUCUUACACUUCCGACAGGUAAUUGACUCUGACCAAUUGUAAUAUUCCAACUUUCUAGGGGGUCAUCUAUCGUAAGACUAUUCUAACCCUAACACGCUUAACUCUCUUAACCUCUUAGACCUAACUACCGCUCGAUAUGCUAUAUCCGGGUUAAGAGUUUUAACCCAAAUAUAUCUCAUAGAUAUGACCAUAUGGAGUCUCACACCGCAUUUUUAUUUUCCUCCUUGACUUAAAAAAAUCUAUAUUUUGUUCCCUUAUAAUUUCAAAAAUAUUUUCAGAAGAUUACGAUAUUAAUAGAGAGGGCAAAAUAAUAAAAUUGUCAUUAUUUCUUCUAUAAGCAAAAAUAUAAUUUUUUAAUAUAUUUCUGUUAUUUUGAAGAAUAUUUUCGAUAUAAAUUAUAAGAAUUUGAUGGAAUAGUAAUGAAAUCCUGAUGGAGGAGGGCUACACGCAACAACGUAAAAUGCUGAGAGGGACAAAAUAUAAUAUUAAAAAA